rnacentral:rRNA from 1 species
CGGGGGAGCACCACAACAGGUGGAGCCUGCGGUUUUAAUCGGACUCAACGCCGGGAAACUCACCAGAUUAAGACAGCUGAAUGAUAGUCGGGCUGAAGACUCUACUUGACUAGCUGAGAGGAGGUGCAUGGCCGUCGUCAGUUCGUACUGUGAAGCAUCCUGUUAAGUCAGGGCAACGAGCGAGACCCACGCCAACAGUUGCCAGCUCGUCCUCCGGGAUGGUGGGGACACUGUUGGGACCGCCUCUGCUAAAGAGGAGGAAGGAAUGGGCAACGGUAGGUCAGCAUCGCCCCGAAUUAUCUGGGCUACACGCGGGCUACAAUGGGUGGGACAAUGGGUAUCGACACCGAAAGGUGAAGGCAAUCUCCUAAACCCAUCCGUAGUUCGGAUUGUGGGCUGCAACUCGCCCACAUGAAGCUGGAAUCUGUAGUAAUCGUGUCUCAAAAUGGCACGGUGAAUAUGUCCCUGCUCCUU